GACGAACGCUGGCGGCGUGCUUAACACAUGCAAGUCGAACGGAAAGGCCCUGCUUUUGUGGGGUGCUCGAGUGGCGAACGGGUGAGUAACACGUGAGUAACCUGCCCUUGACUUUGGGAUAACUUCAGGAAACUGGGGCUAAUACCGGAUAGGAGCUCCUGCUGCAUGGUGGGGGUUGGAAAGUUUCGGCGGUUGGGGAUGGACUCGCGGCUUAUCAGCUUGUUGGUGGGGUAGUGGCUUACCAAGGCUUUGACGGGUAGCCGGCCUGAGAGGGUGACCGGCCACAUGGGGACGGAGAUACGGCCCAGACUCCUACGGGAGGCAGCGGUGGGGAAUAUUGCACAAUGGGCGGAAGCCUGAUGCAGCAACGCCGCGUGCGGGAUGACGGCCUUCGGGUUGUAAACCGCUUUCGCCUGUGACGAAGCGUGAGUGACGGUAAUGGGUAAAGAAGCACCGGCUAACUACGU
rnacentral:rRNA from 1 species